UCCUCUGGUCCCGCAUAGCCACUAGCCCAAGUUCGAGGAGCUCCCGUUGCCCUCCAUUGCCGCCAUGGCCGCCGCUCUGUUCGGCUCAAAUUCGAGCACGACAGCCCUCCCCUCCUCCUCCCGACCCCUCCAUUGUGUUCCCCUCCUCCCAGAGAGCAUCUCCACCCCACCCACUCGUCGCCGGAGCCACCCUAGGGCCGUGCCCCGAAGAGCACCGCCACCUCUGUCCCCUCCCAAUUCUGGCGAGCUAGGCCUCCCCCUCCUCCUCUACACAACCAGGGAUCCCCUCGAGCACCUAGAAGCCAACCCACAUCUCCAGCCCCCACCUACGCCACCGGAGCGCCGAGCCCAACUCCGGCCAGGACCUCUGUCCGCCGCGGCUAGUGCCUCGCCCGUUUCUUAGCUCCUCGGCGUUCGGGCACUUUCUGAAUGGGACCGCCUCGGCCCACUGAUCUAUCCUGUAGGUCGGGCGCCGCAGAUGGUGGCCGGUGCCGCCGGCGAGCCUCGUCGGGACCGGCCCGGUCUUCUGUUUUGCGGGCGGCGUCGAGCUGGAGAAGGAGGAGAGGGAGGAGAGAGAGAGGUGCACGGGCCUCGCCAGUCAGCCUCUCAGGAGCCAGCCCCGCGUUGACUCCACCACGCUGACGUGGAUAAGUGGAGACGUACUCCUGUUUGCAGGUCAUGCCAGAUUUGAUUGCUUGUUUGCCAUGGAUUCCUUGUUUGCGAGCUAGGAUAACUGUUCCAGCCAGAGUCCCUGUGGAGUGGAGUUCAUCACCGUCGUUGCUGUUCUGCUGCUAGAAUUAUUACGCUGCUUCGUGAUGUUCUGCUGCUUGCAUGGAGCAACCGUGGCACGUGUAGUUUCGCCGUGCCGAUGUAACCCCCUUGUACCCAUAUAGAUUGCAAUAAAGAGCCGAUUUGUUCUAUGCUAA